AGAUGGUGAACUAUGCCUGAAUAGGGCGAAGCCAGGGGAAACCCUGGUGGAAGCCCGCAGCGAUUCUGACGUGCAAAUCGAUCGUCAAAUUUGGGUAUAGGGGCGAAAGACUAAUCGAACCGUCUAGUAGCUGGUUCCCUCCGAAGUUUCCCUCAGGAUAGCUGGAGCCCGGUGCAGUUUUAUCAGGUAAAGCGAAUGAUUAGAGGUCUUGGGGUCGAAACGACCUCAACCUAUUCUCAAACUUUAAAUGGGUAAGAAGUCUGGCUUGCUCGAUUGAAGUCGGACGCGGAAUGCCGGGGCUCCUAGUGGGCCAUUUUUGGUAAGCAGAACUGGCGAUGUGGGAUGAACCGAAAGCCGGGUUAAGGUGCCCGAAUCGACGCUCAGCAGAUACCAGGAAG
rnacentral:rRNA from 1 species